UGCGGCUUAUAUUCAGGUGCGCCUUAUAGUCCGAAAAUUACGGUAACUGAUUUCAGUUGUAGAAGUAGAAUUAUUCUGUUUCUGUGUCCUGCCAGGUGGACGUGCAGGUCAGCUGUGAGGAUCUGUUCUCUGAUCGGCACUGGAGGGUCUGUCACGCCUUUGCCACCUUUGUUACCCAGCGCUCAAACACAGGGAAAAAGGUGAUCCUGAAGCCCGUGGUGCCUCACACUGAGAAGGAGCAGGUGGAGUACAGCGUGGCGGCUGAGAGACGCAGGGUCAGGAUGCUUCACGAUGACAUCAUCAAAGAUCUGCUCUCCCACGGGUCUGUCCUGCAGGCUGACAACACUGCAGUAGGUAAUGCGGUGGCAGGAGAUAAGACCAAAG